CAAAGCUCCAAGACAGACCUGUAGCAGCAUGGCCCAAAAAGUUCCUCUGCUGCCCCAAUCCCAUACCCGCCUGAGGUAUGGGGGUUCAGGCUGAGUCGGCUGACCUUGUCAGCCUUGUCAUCUGGAAGCCUUGUCAGAAAUGCAGAUUCUGCAGUGCUGUUCCCAGAGGAUGAGAUUCAGCAGAACUGGGUGUUGGAUAUUAUAUGAAGAGAUUUGCAAGUGUUAUUUUACGUAAUUCGCACUUUACAAAGGAGGAAACUGCAGCGCAGGGGGCGAGGGACCAAGAUUGCCCCAUCUCGGUCCAGGCCUGCUCCCUGCGAGCCACUCGCCCUUGACCACGCCUCCUCUCUCCUGAUUGGCUGUCAGGCAUGAGUCGACAGAGAAAGACGACCACUGCCGUCACCCCACUAAAGAAGCCCCAGCACUUAGCAAGCACCUAUGGCCC
rnacentral:lncRNA from 1 species